GAUUGGUGCUAAUCCAUGCGAGUCAUUGCAGCACUUCAAGGCGGACGGAUCAGUAACAGGUAGUCAACCUAGGUAGUGGACUUGGAUAACCUCGGGAAGCUGUGAUUAAUCCACGUUGGAUGAUAUUGCGCAGAAUGCCUUAUGCUCCAGACAUCUUCAUGCCAUCAGAUGGGAUUGCGCCUUAUCAGCUAAUUGGUUAGGUAUUUCCCCAUCAAGACGUUUGCAGGAUCUGCAUCGGAGCGUAGGAGGCGCAAGAGGGGUAAUGAGACGAGGACCCAGGCCGUAUGGGGAGCAGCAGGCGACAAACAUCUGCAAUGCGCAAAGCAUCGAUGGUGUCAGUCCGAGUGAUUCACCAUAAAGGAGUCUUUCGCUAUGUCAUAAAAGCACAGGGGCAUAAGGGGUGGUCAAGUAUCGGGUCUCCCUCGGCGGUAAUCCCUGCACCUUGAGUGCUCAGGACGUUUAUUUGGCCUAAAGCAUCCGUUACGGCCUGGGCAAGUGUUUCGGUAAAUCUACCUGGUCUACAGAUGUCCGGCCGGGGACACGACAUAGCUAGGGAGUGGCAGAGGCUGACGGUCUUCAGUGGGUAGGGGUAUACUCUUCCGAUCCAUUGAGGACCACCAGUCGUGAAGCCGGUCUGCCAGAACACUUUAGACGGUGAGGGAUGAAAGUUGGGGGAGCAAUCCGGAUUCGAUACCCGGGUAGUCCCAGCUGUAAUGGAUGCUAACUCGGUGAUGCAUUCACUUAUGGCCAAUGCAGUGCCGCAGGGAAGACCGCUAAGUUUGCCGCGCGGGAAGUACGGACGCAAGUCUGAAACUUAAAGGAAU
rnacentral:rRNA from 1 species